AAGAAAAUGUGUCUAGUCUGUGUGACUAGAGGAAUCUAGACUAUAAAAACAGGUUCAGCUUCUUGCCAGACGCCGCUGACAUGGCGCUUCAUGGAGGUUGGCCUAGUGGCCUACGUCUCCUUUGGGCCUCGUGCCAGAAAGCUUGUAGUGAUUAUAGAUGUUAUUGAUCAAAAACAGGACUUUGGUUGAUGGAUCCUGCACUCAGGUAAGAAGAUAGGACAUGCCUUUCAAAUGCAUGCAACUCACUGACUUCAUCCUCAAGUUCCCACACAGUGCCCGCCAGAAGUACGUCCGACAAGCCUGGCAGAAGGCAGAUACAAAUACAAAAUGGGCAGCCACAAGAUGGGCCAAGAAAAUGGAAGCCAGAGAAAGGAAAGCUAAGAUCACAGAUUUUGAUCGUUUUAAAGUUAUGAAGGCAAAGAAAAUGAGGAACAGGAUAAUCAAGAAUGAAGUGAUGAAGCUUCAAAAAGCAGCUCUUCUGAUAGCUUCUCCCAAAAAAGCACCUGCUAAGGGUGCUGCUGCUGUUGCAGCGGCUGCUGCUAAAGUUCCAGCAAAAAAGAUGACCACUGCAGGCAAGAAGGCUGCAGCCCAGAGGGUUCCUGCCCAGAAAGCCACAGGCCAGAAGCUCAGAAGGGUCAAAAGGCUCCAGCCCAGAAAGCACCUGCUCCAAAGGCAUCCGGAAAGAAAGCAUAAGAGGCUAUAAUGAAAGUAAUAAAGGUUCUUUUUGACGUGUUGACAAAUGUAGAAAAAUAAAAAAAA